UUUCUGGGGAAAAAAAAAAUCUGCCAAAUUCAUAUAUUCAUAUCUUCAGGAAAAUUCCAGUGUUAGCCCAUCUAAAGAUUGCUUUUCAUCAUACAAAACUGAAAGUAAAGGCAUAACUACUCUAAGUACAUUCGAAGGAUCAAAAUUUUCAAGAGCUAUUUUGCCGAUUAAUUUACAUAUACAUUGGUUGAAAUAAAAUAUGAUAUAAUUUAAGAAUCAUUACAUUCUUGCCAGCAAACUAACAUGGCGACACACCGCCGGAGAAUGUAAAAUCUUGCCCUUUGCUCCUUCACUAGGCGGCUAAACCUCUGCCCGAAUGACCUCCGCGGCGGCCGUCGGCACUUCUCCCCGAAGCUAUUCUGUUCUUCUUCUUUCAUGGCGAGAGAGAGAGAGAGAGAGAGAGAGAGAGAGAGAGAGAUUGGAGGGGUGAAGAGGGUUCAAU
rnacentral:lncRNA from 1 species